AGAGUUAAGACUCCAUUUAGAGAAAACAAAGCAGAAGGAGGAAACGUUAAUUAAACGCCAAGAAGAAAAGUUGAGGAGGUAGAAAGUGUGAAUCCAGCAGCAUGAAUCAGUGUGAGGACAGAGAGGAGGGAGCCCCUCCCUCUAAAACCAGUCUGUGUGGGGACCAUGAGAACCAGAACAAAGCUCAGAGGUCCCAUCAGAGACGAGGAUCUGCUGAACCUGAACCUAAACCUGAACCUAAACCUGGACCUGGACCCAGCUGUGUGUCCUUUAAGAGCGACUGGUCAAAG